rnacentral:lncRNA from 1 species
AGCGCACCGAUGUACAGUGUAAGAACCGCAUCGAUACUUUGAAGAAGAAGUACAAGCUUGAGAAAACCAAGUCAUCUCCGUCUAAAUGGCCGUUUUAUAACCGUCUCGAUUAUCUCAUCGGUACCAAUAACGUUUCUACCUCGCCGUGAUCAAGCUUAAUCGCGGCAAUCUCCGGCAGAAGGACUGGAAGGAAGUCGCUGACACCGUUAACUCCCGUCAAAACGGCGUUAAGCCUCAGCGCACCGAUGUACAGUGUAAGAACCGGAUCGAUACUUUGAAGAAGAAGUACAAGCUUGAGAAAACCAAGUCAUCUCCGUCUAAAUGGCCGUUUUAUAACCGUCUCGAUUAUCUCAUCGGUACCAAUAACGUUUCUACCUCGCCGUGUAAUAGAAAAUUGACUGCCGCGAUUACACUUACCGUUAAGUCAAACUCUAACCCUAACUUUGGUGCCAUGAAUUAUUCCGGCAGUUCAUCGAGGAUGAAUUCAAGUGGUUCCAAUU